GGAUAUAUAAAAAUUCUCAAAAGUUUAGGACAUCACUUUUUUUUUAACAGGAAGUAGUCAAUCAUACACAAGUCGGAAAGUUUUAGCUACAAUCUCACUUCAACAAUAGCAUUUUGCAUUAAUUAAAUGCAAUGUUUGUGUGGGCUGACAACACUGCCAGGAUGCCAGAUAUCCACUAAAGCCACUCUAUCAGUUCCCUUCUCAGCUGGGCAGGGAAGAGAAAAUAUAAUAAAACAAUACAUCUUGGGAUGGGAUAAAGGCAGGGAGAGAUCCGUCACUGACUUCUGUAAUAGGAAAAACAGGCUUCACUUGGUGCAAUUCAUUACCAAUCAAAUCCAAAUAGCAGAAUAAAAAAUAAAACAUUUUUCCCCCAUCCUUCCCUUUUUUCCAAACUCAGCUUUAUUCCUGAACUCUACCUCCUCCUCCUCAGAGGUGCAGGGAGACAGGAAAUGAAAUCUGUGGCCAGUUCAUCAUGUGUUUUCUGAUGCUCCUUCAUCCUCCCAGGAAGGGCUCCUCACGCUUUUUACCUGCUCCAGUACGGGGCCCCUUCCAUGGGAGAUGGUUCUUCCCAAACUUCUCGAAGGAGAGUCCUUCCCAUGGACUGCAGUUCUUCAUCCACACUGCUCCAGUGUGGAUCCCCCCCAGAGUUACACACAGCUGCCAUCAGACCUGCUCCAGUGGGGUCUAUGCACAAGGUCACAGCAUCCUUCAGGCAUCCACCUGCUCUGCUCUGGUGUGGGGCUCCCCACAGGCUGCAGUGGAUCUCUGCUCCCACCAUGGACCUCCACGGGCUGCAGGGACACAGCCUAUUGCUCCAUGGGCUGCACCACAGGCAGCAGGGGAACCUCUGCUCUGGUACCUGGAGCACCUCCUGCCCCUCCUUCUUCACUGACCUUGGUGUCUGCAGAGCAGCUCCUCUCACUCCUCUCUCCAGCUGCACUUGCUGUUGCUGCAACCACUUUUUCUGCUUCUUAAAUUGCUGUCCCAGAGUGUUACCUCUGUCACUGAAGGGCUUGGCCUUGUCCAGCAGUGGGUCUGUGAUGGAACUGGUUGGCUCUGGCUCUUUCAGACACAGGGGAAGCUUCUCAGAUUCUCAAAGAAAUCACCCCAUAGUCUCCCCACUACCAUGCCAUGCAAACCCUUAGUAUUUCAAUGUCCUAAGACUUUAAUAAUCUGAGUUUUUCUGCACAGUUUACAGAAUCACAGAAU
rnacentral:lncRNA from 1 species